rnacentral:lncRNA from 1 species
GGCUUAGUGACCUUUGUUUCUAUUUGAAUUUGAUAACACUGAUUUAUUUCCCAGGGUGGGGCUCCAGGAAGAAGAAGGACAUGGGCUUGAGACUCUGCUGCCAACUGACUCCCUCACUGUGGUUCUCCUCUGGUUGCUGCUGCUUCUGGUUCAGCCACACAGUUACCAAGAAAAGGGACUCGCUUCCUGGAGUGGCUGAAAGUGCUCUGGACGGCGGGCCAGGCCCAUCAUGGCGGACAGCGGGAGAGCCGGGCAAGAGGAUGCACCACGAGUGAGGCAGGGUGGGAGCCUCAAGGAACCAAAGUUCCGUGGACUCUUCUCCAGCCUGAAGGCUGGAGGAAAUCCCAUUCAAUGGAGCAGAAGGAAGAUGGACACAGACUGGCUGGCCACCAGAGCCACCUCAAGACCCUGGUCAAGCAGCACUGUGGAUGGCACGACCUCUGCAGGUGAAAGGCAAGAAAGUCCACGAAGACUCUGCUUCUUUCUAGGGGAGAAGUGGGG